CAAAGACAAACCACCAGCGAGGUAUAGAGUUCCUAUGUGCCAAAACAAUUCGCUACUCAUAGGAACUUCAUACCGUGCUCUUGGAUUGAUCUGAAUUCA
rnacentral:pre_miRNA from 1 species